GUUAUUUCUCUUGUAGCUGCCUGGUGGAAAUACAGUAUUAUAUAAUGACAUGCUACUAUGCAUCUCUACCUAACUCCUCGUCUGGUGAUGCCAUAUUGAAAUCAGCCAUACUGAGAGUAUUUACACACUGCUGAAGUCAGUAAAUGCUACAAAUCAAGGCUUGAAUGUAACCUACAUGAGAAAGAGUUGCCUUGCUCACUGCCGUAUCCCAGUAUCCCAAGAACCUUGGAGAUGCUCUAUGAAUACUGAAUGAAUCUGAGAGGAAACUAGCCCGAAGGGGGAAGGCUCUGGAAGCAAGCCCUCAUGGACCAACGGAGAGUGAGUGUCAUCAUUUUAUGUUUUCUCCAAAUCUUGUAAACAAUGUGUUUUAGUCUUAGCCUGUCAUAUGCAGCUGAAAUCUGGGGCAAAUAAAAU
rnacentral:lncRNA from 10 species